UGGACCCGAAAGCUGAUUUUCAAAAUUCCAGAAAAAUCGAUUAGUUAAUUUGAUAAAUAAUUUUAGA
rnacentral:sRNA from 16 species